UACGGAGGGUGCGAGCGUUAUUCGGAAUUACUGGGCGUAAAGGGCGCGCAGGCGGCUUUGCAAGACUGAUGUGAAAUCCCCGGGCUCAACCUCGGAACUGCAUUUGUGACUGCAAGGCUAGAGUACGGCAGAGGGGGAUGGAAUUCCUCGUGUAGCAGUGAAAUGCGUAGAUAUGCGGAGGAACACCAAUGGCGAAGGCAACCCCCUGGGCCUGUACUGACGCUCAUGCACGAAAGCGUGGGGAGCAAACAGG
rnacentral:rRNA from 1 species